rnacentral:rRNA from 1 species
UAGCGUAUGUUAAAGUUGUUGCGGCUAAAAAGCUCGUAGUUGGAUUUCUGUUGAGGACAUCUGGUCCGCUCUUCGAGCGUGCAUCUAGUUUGGCCUCGGCAUCCGCUCUGCAUACGUGUUUGCGCUUGAUUGCGUGCCACGGAGGUAGGGCCUUUUACUUUGAGGAAAUUAGAGUGUUCACGGCAGGCAGUCGCCCUGAAUAUAUUAGCAUGGAAUAAUAACAUAGGAUCUUGGUUCUAUUUUGUUGGUUUCUAGAGCUAGGAUAAUGAUUAAGAGGGACAAUUGGGGGCAUUCGUAUUGUGGUGUC